CCCUUAGAUGUUCUGGGCCGCACGCGCGCUACACUGACUGGUGCAACAAGUGUCUGACCUUGGCUCGAGAGGCCUGGGCAACCUUUGAACGCCAGUCGUGCUGGGGAUAGAUUCUUGCAAUUAUUAAUCUUCAACGAGGAAUUCCUAGUAAACGCAAGUCAUCAGCUUGCAUUGAUUACGUCCCUGCCCUUUGUACACACCGCCCGUCGCACCUACCGAUUGAAUGGUCCGGUGAAAUCUCGGGACGGCGGCUUGGUCGCUUGCGUCCGACUGCUGAAACUUGAUUAAACCAUAUCAUUUAGAGGAAGGUGAAGUCGUAACA
rnacentral:rRNA from 1 species